rnacentral:rRNA from 1 species
GGACCCGCACAAGUAGUGGAGCAUGUGGUUUAAUUCGAUGCAACGCGAAGAACCUUACCAGGGUUUGACAUCCUGCGAAUCUCUUGGAAACAGGAGAGUGCCUUCGGGAACGCAGUGACAGGUGGUGCAUGGCUGUCGUCAGCUCGUGUCGUGAGAUGUUGGUUAAGUCCCGCAACGAGCGCAACCCACGUCUUUAGUUGCCAGCAUUUAGUUGGGCACUCUAGAGAGACUGCCGGUGAUAAACCGGAGGAAGGUGUGGAUGACGUCAAGUCAUCAUGCCCCUUACAUCCUGGGCUACACACGUACUACAAUGCUACGGACAAAGGGCAGCAAGUUCGCGAGGAC